GGUGGUUGAAAGCGACAGACAGACUGUAAAUCUGCUGAAGGUUUUCUACGUAGGUUCGAAUCCUGCCUCUUCCA
rnacentral:tRNA from 1 species